rnacentral:snoRNA from 1 species
AUCCUCCAGAUUCCUUCUCCCUCAAAUCUAAAUAUUGGUCCGAGUGGCUACAAAAGGAGGGGAAGUAACACAGAAGUGGCCUUGACAUCUGUAAUGACAUACAAGUUUGUUUCAAACAUUA